AUUUGUAUUACGCACGGGAAUUUGCAUUACUUUGGGCCGAAAGUGGUGCAUUUUCCCGUGCGUAAUACAAAUU